rnacentral:hammerhead_ribozyme from 1 species
AUCCAGCUGAUGAGUUCUAAAUAGGACGAAACGUGCGCCAAACUGGAU